rnacentral:rRNA from 1 species
CCUACGGGAGGCAGCAGUGAGGAAUAUUGGUCAAUGGACGAGAGUCUGAACCAGCCAAGUAGCGUGAAGGAUGACUGCCCUAUGGGUUGUAAACUUCUUUUAUGUGGGAAUAAAACGUUCCACGUGUGGGAUUUUGUAUGUACCAUAUGAAUAAGGAUCGGCUAACUCCGUGCCAGCAGCCGCGGUAAUACGGAGGAUCCGAGCGUUAUCCGGAUUUAUUGGGUUUAAAGGGAGCGUAGGUGGAUGGUUAAGUCAGUUGUGAAAGUGUGCGGCUCAACCGUAAAAUUGCAGUUGAAACUGGCAGUCUUGAGUACAGUAGAGGUGGGCGGAAUUCGUGGUGUAGCGGUGAAAUGCUUAGAUAUCACGAAGAACUCCGAUUGCGAAGGCAGUUCACUGGACUGCAACUGACACUGAGGCUCGAAAGUGUGGGUAUCAAACAGGAUUAGAUACCCGGGUAGUC